AGCCUCCUUGCUCUUCAAUACCAGCUCCUCCAAACAGCAAUAAGAGAAAUGAGAUGUCCUUCAAGAUGGCAGACUGGAACGACUUCUGGGUCAAGCCAGGAUCGAGGAACUAUAAGUUAAGGGAAUUGGGUCAAGGAGAAACUUGGUUGCCAUGACAUACAACAAAGAGUAGAGGAGAGAAAGCUCAGAGGAUAUGAAUAAGGGAGCAGGAGAGAUGGAUGAGGGGGUAGGGAGAGGCAGGAGAAAGACAGAGAUGGAUGGACUGAACAGUCUGGCUGUACAGGGGCACAGCUAUGGAAAGAGACAAUUCACAGAUGCACAGAGGAGAUCUGGGAGAUACUUUGGAAAAAUGACAAGUCAAGAAGUUGGAGGAGGAGGGAUAAUGAGCAAAGGCAGAGAGGAAGGGCUGUAAUCCUGACAGCAACACUCCACACACAGGGCAGCGAGUAGACGGACAAACAACAGGAGACCUGCUUAUUCACCCAAAGCCCAAAGCAAACACUGCAGCUGCUAUGGGUGGGUGAUGCUGACAGCUACAGCAGCGUGUGGGGGCUAGAGAGAGGAAGAUUCAGUUACAGCGAGAGUGAUUACUCAUCACACAAGUCUGAUCCCUGCAGGAUGGAGGUGGGUAACAGACCAAAUUCCAUAUUUCACCAUUCCACGUUGGAAGACAACACCUCCACUCGGAUUAGGGAACAGGAUAUUUUUGGACAUGCCAACUUGUGUGUGAAGUAGUGCAAAAGAGAAACAUGGACAAGACGGGAGGCUUUUGCUCUUGUAACUUUGAAUCAGAUGAGGGGAGCCAAGAGACAUGCGAGGUGUCUAUGGGGAGAGGCAGGAUUAGCUGGAUUAGCUCAGCCACACCACUGAUAGAACUGGACCCUCCCUGGACAGCGAGGCGAACACUGGCAUGCAGGGGCUAGUUGAACGGGAGCCAACAUUGUCUCACUAAAACAUUGCUCAGGACUGGGUUCACCAAACUGAUGCUUGCUUUUACUAUUUCCCUUCUUCUCAUGUUUAUUUAUCAGUAAUUAUAGGGACACACCUUUUCUGUCAGGUGCAUUGAAUUCUAGUUUGGGUCCAUAAGUAGGUCUUUCUCCUUUUAGACAGUUUCACGCUUUCAACUGCUUUAAAGGUUCUUGCUGAUAAAAUGAUAUGAAUUUGCAUUGCAGGAUCUCAACUGGCGGUCCAGAUAUUGAGAGGAAUCCCUGCUAUGAAUCACUGAAAUGUAUGC